rnacentral:rRNA from 1 species
AGUGAACGCUGGCGGCGUGCCUAAUACAUGCAAGUCGAACGGAGUGGCGCACGGGUGAGUAAUAUAUAGCUAAUCUGCCCCUUGCUGGAGGACAACAGUUAGAAAUGACUGCUAAUACUCCAUAGCAAGGGAUGAGACUAUAUCGUAUCAGCUAGUCGGUGGGGUAACGGCCUACCGAGGCUAUGACGCGUAACUGGUCUGAGAGGAUGAUCAGUCACAUGGGAACGGAGACACGGGAGAAACUCCUACGGGAGGCAGCAGUAGUGAAUAUUGCGCAAUGGGGGAAACCCUGAAGGAGCAACGCCGCGUGGAGUAUGACACUUGUCGGAGAAUAAACUCCGUUUGUUAGGGAAGCGGUACCUAACGAAUAAGCACCGGCUAACUCCGUGCCAGCAGCCGCGGUAAUUC